rnacentral:misc_RNA from 1 species
GAUGAAGAACGUGGCGAAAUGCGAUAAGUAAUGUGAAUUGCAGAAUUCCGUGAAUCAUCGAAUCUUUGAACGCACAUUGCGCCCCCUGGUAUUCCGGGGGGCAUGCCUGUCCGAGCGUCAUUGCAACCUUCAAGCGCGGCUUGUGUGUUGGGUCUCGUCCCCCGUGGACGGGCCCGAAAGGCAGUGGCGGCGUCCCGACAUGGUGCCCGAGCGUAUGGGAAUCCUCUUCCGCUCGAAUCGGCCCAUGCGGCGCUGGUCGUAACCAAAUUUUUUACCGGUUGACCUCGGAUCAGGUAGGGAUACCCGCUGAACUUAAGCAUAUCAAUAAGCGGAGGA